rnacentral:rRNA from 1 species
GACGAACGCUGGCGGCGUGCCUAAUACAUGCAAGUAGAACGCUGAAGGAGGAGCUUGCUUCUCUGGAUGAGUUGCGAACGGGUGAGUAACGCGUAGGUAACCUGCCUGGUAGCGGGGGAUAACUAUUGGAAACGAUAGCUAAUACCGCAUAAUAGUAGAUGUUGCAUGACAUUUGCUUAAAAGGUGCAAUUGCAUCACUACCAGAUGGACCUGCGUUGUAUUAGCUAGUUGGUGGGGUAACGGCUCACCACGGCGACGAUACAUAGCCGACCUGAGAGGGUGAUCGGCCACACUGGAACUGAGCCACGGCCCAGACUCCUACGGGAGGCAGCAGUAGGGAAUCUUCGGCAAUGGACGGAAGUCUGCCGGAGCAACGCCGCGUGAGUGAAGAAGGUUUUCGGAUCGUAAAGCUCUGUUGUAAGGGAAGAACGAGUGUGGGAGUGGAAAGUCCACACUGGGAGGGAAUUUAACAAAAAGGGACCGGUAACUACGUG